rnacentral:piRNA from 1 species
UACAAGAUGCAGACAUGAUGCAUUCAUCAAU